UCGGGAAUUUUGGGCAAUGGGCGAAAGCCUGACCCAGCAACGCCGCGUGAGGGAUGAAGUAUUUCGGUAUGUAAACCUCGAAAGAAUGGGAAGAAUAAAUGACGGUACCAUUUAUAAGCUCCGGCUAACUACGCGCCAGCAGCCGCGGUAAUACGUAGGGAGCAAGCGUUGUUCGGAUUUACUGGGCGUAAAGGGCGCGUAGGCGGCGCGGUAAGUCACUUGUGAAAUCUCUGAGCUUAACUCAGAACGGCCAAGUGAUACUGCUGUGCCAGAGUGCGGAAGAGGCUACCGGAAUUCUUGGUGUAGCGGUUAAAUGCGUAGAUAUCAAGAGGAACACCUGAGGCGAAGGCGGGUUGCUGGGCCGACACUGACGCUGAUGCGCGAAAGCCAGGGGAGCAAACG
rnacentral:rRNA from 1 species